AAAUCAUUUGUCUUUUAAAUGGGGACCAGUAUGAACGGCACGACGAGGGCUUGACUGUCUCCUUUUUCAAGUCAGUGAAAUUGAUCUUCCCGUGCAGAAGCGGGAAUAUAAACAUAAGACGAGAAGACCCUAUGAAGCUUUAGACACAAGGUAGCCCCUGUUAAACAACUCUUGAUAAAGAACUAAACUUGGCUAAUUCUACCCUAAUGUCUUUGGUUGGGGCGACCGCGGGGUAAAAAGUAACCCCCACGUGGAACGGGAAUAUAACAUUUCCUCGAGUCCUGAGCUACCGCUCUUGGCAGCAGAAUUUCUGACCAUAUGAUCCGGCAACGCCGAUCAGCGAACUAAGUUACUCUAGGGAUAACAGCGCAAUCCCCUUAUAGAGGCCG
rnacentral:rRNA from 1 species